GGCCUUAUAGUCAAUAAAUGAUAUAAAAUUGCAAAUUUUAAGAAAUAUAAAAUAUAUUAAGGCUU
rnacentral:tRNA from 1 species